GACGAACACUGGCGGCGUGCUUAACACAUGCAAGUCGAACGGAAAGGCCUGCUUUCCCUUGUGGAUUGCGGGUGCUCGAGUGGCGAACGGGUGAGUAACACGUGAGUGAUCUGCCCCCAACUUGGGUAUAAGCCUGGGAAACUGGGUCUAAUUCCCGAUAGGACUGCAGGGUGGUGCCUGUGGUGGAAAACGAUUUUCUAGUGGUUGGGGAUGAGCUCGCGGCCUAUCAGCUUGUUGGUGGGGUAAUGGCCUACCAAGGCGGCGACGGGUAGCCGGCCUGAGAGGGUGGACGGCCACAUUGGGACUGAGAUACGGCCCAGACUCCUACGGGAGGCAGCAGUGGGGAAUAUUGCACAAUGGGCGGAAGCCUGAUGCAGCGACGCCGCGUGGGGGAUGACGGCCUUCGGGUUGUAAACUCCUUUCGACCGCGAGGAAGCCACCUGGUUGGAAGGGUGGUGACGGUAGUGGUAGAAGAAGCACCGGCUAACUACGUG
rnacentral:rRNA from 1 species